rnacentral:lncRNA from 1 species
AGGAUGAGGUGGAGCGUGGAGGAUAGCAGUAUUGAUGAGGAUUAAACUAGCAAAUGGGAUGAGCUUGUGGAAUACCUAGUGCUAAGCCAAAGUGCUCUGCUUCUGAUACAUGUACCAAGUGAGACGAGGAGGCUGCAUGUGGCAUGGUUCAGUUCAUACUGGAUUGUUCAAUUGUUUUCAUAAAGACGGAGAGAAAUCGAAUCACCAACCAGAAUAUCAAGUAUUUUCCUUUUUUUUAAAAAAUGAAAUUUACAUAGGUUGAGGUAAUAUUUUACAAGUUUCUAUUUUUUUAAAAUUAUUUUUAGUUGUGGAGGCGUUGUAUUUUUUGGUUUUGUUGGCUGUUUUUGGUGUAUUUUUUGUUAAAGUUAAUAAACCCCACCUCCUGAAUUUGGAAAUUUCCCAAACUCUUAUCUGUUUUUAUCAGCCACGUCCAUGACAUGACAAUGGUGAUGUAAAGUGGACUCAUGGAACAGGGUGGGACCCACCAUGUGGAGCAUGGUGUGUCAAUCUGACAAGUGUAAGAGGCAUUGUUUCCUAUAAGCUGAUUUAUUUACUUCUUUUUUUUCUUUUUUUAAACUAUUUUUCAAAAACAACACCAAAAAUACCAGACCAACCAUAAAGGAGAGAAUUAAAAAGGAGGUUUUUGCCUGAAUGAAAACAAGCAGGAAAAUGUCCUUGAGAACAAGGUGCAUUGUUCUCCUGCCUUGAGAAGGCAAGAGAUACUUGGUCUGAAGCACUGUGGAGAGAAAGAGAUGUGGAGGAGCACACAUCUUGGUAGCUCCAUCCUCUUCCUCCCCACAGCAGUCCCCCAAAACCAAACAAAGUUGCCUCCCGCUCUGUCUGGCAUAAGAAUGAUGCAUGUGGGGACAAAACACAAAUCAGUGAGGUCUGCCUGAGUCAGGGGAGAGAUUCCCAACCCACAUAUAUUCCAGGCUUUGAAUGAACCUUCAGAAUACAGCUGCAGCCACCAUGGAAAUCUGGUAUCAGGAAGGGAAGAUUCUCAGAAUAUUAAAAACAAGUCAUGUAGAGAUCUCCCUGCCUUCCAUUCUCCACUCAAAAUUGAUGUUCAACCUUUCCAACAUCAGCUUUAAGUUGCUAGGAUGACAGCAGCAACAGGACCUGGAUACAGAACAAACAAAGGAAGGGCCUGCCAAAGCCACAGACGUGUGCUCCAGUUGUGGCGGUAAUAUAUGAGGUAUGUAAGAUGUCUUUUUAGGAAUGCUGGGUUCCUGGCCUCUGCAGGUUAAAUAUUCCCCUCUGCCUCACAUCAGCUGAAUUGAUGGUUUUGCCACCCAGCAGCCCCAGGAAGAUAAUAACUGUCAGUCACCAGCAAUCUGCACUGCAUUUACAGUAACAAAUAGGAUGCCAGUUUGGGGAGAAGAUGAUAUUUGUACAAAUAUGUGGUAAGUGACCACAUAUUGCUGCAGCAGUUGUAGCCCCUUUAUACAUAUAUGUAUGUCCAGACACAUAGGACGAGUGAGUGUUAAACACACACCAUUCAGAGCUGGGUCUGGGCUUUAACAAAAGCAUUGCAGCAAAGUAAUUUCUAUACCUGCAUUGAUGAAGAAUGCGUCAUGGAUGCGGAAUCCCUGCAAAGAAAUGCAUUAUGAGAUUUCUUUUUUGCUGGUUCAGCCCUAUUAAUCUGUUCAGCAUGAGCUCAAGUAUUUUAAUAACAGGCAUGGAAUAUUAUGCCUGCUCUGAAAUGGCUUGUUUUUAAGCACAACUUGGGCUGUGUUUGUGUUAACCUAGUUGGGGGAAAAAAAAAAACAGGUUUUAAGCUUAUCCUCCUUUUCUUUCCCUAAUCACAGCUACAGGGCAAAACAUACCAAGGCUCUAAUAGGAGAAGUAGCAUUAUCAUAUGCUAAUUUACAGUACUGUUAAGAAUACCACAAAGAACAAGCCUUUGACUAUAUGUACAAGUUGAAAUUCAUACUUGUGAAUAGACCUGUGGCAUGGCUGGUUGGCCUUUUGGGGACAGAAUUUGUGUUCCUGAGUAAACUGCAUUUCAGGAGUUGGGGCUGAUAUAAGAGUUCUUACUCGGAAAUAGGUUUUUGUUUUGUUUUUUUUUUUUGUUUUGGUUGGGGUUUUUUUUCUGGUUUUAAGU